GACGAACGCUGGCGGCGUGCUUAACACAUGCAAGUCGAACGAUGAAGCUUGGAGCUUGCACCGGGGGGAUGAGCGGCGAACGGGUGAGUAAUACGUGGGUAACCUGCCCUUGAGACUGGGAUAAGUUCGGGAAACUGGGUCUAAUACCGGAUAAGAUAUGUAACCGCAUGGUGGAGUGUGGAAAGGGGUUUAUUGGGUUUGGAUGGGCUGACGGCGUAUCGGCUUGUUGGUGGGGUAAUGGAACCCCAACUCAACGACGGGUAGCCGGCCCGAGAGGGUGGCCGCCCACCCUGCUCCUGCGACACGCCCCAGUCUCCUACGUGAGGCAGCGGUCGGGAAUUUUGCGCAAUGGGCGGACGCCUGUUGCGGCGACGCCGCGUUAGUGAUGCCGGCCUUCUGGUUGUAAACCUCUUUCAGCACGGAUGAACCGAAAGUGACGGUACCUGCAGAAAAAGCGCCGGCUAACUACGUG
rnacentral:rRNA from 1 species